rnacentral:rRNA from 1 species
UUGUAUUUGUGCCAGCAGCCGCGGUAAUACGUAGGUGGCGAGCGUUGUCCGGAUUUAUUGGGCGUAAAGGGAACGCAGGCGGUCUUUUAAGUCUGAUGUGAAAGCCUUCGGCUUAACCGAAGUAGUGCAUUGGAAACUGGAAGACUUGAGUGCAGAAGAGGAGAGUGGAACUCCAUGUGUAGCGGUGAAAUGCGUAGAUAUAUGGAAGAACACCAGUGGCGAAAGCGGCUCUCUGGUCUGUAACUGACGCUGAGGUUCGAAAGCGUGGGUAGCAAACAGG